rnacentral:rRNA from 1 species
UACGUAGGGGGCGAGCGUUGUCCGGAGUUACUGGGCGUAAAGGGCGCGUAGGCGGUUGAGCGCGUGUCCGGUGCCAGCUGGUUGCUUAACGACCAGAGUGCCGGGCAGACGGCUUGACUGGAGGGCCGCAGAGGGACAUAGAAUUCCGGGUGGAGUGGUGAAAUGCGUAGAGAUCCGGAGGAAUACCAAUGGCGAAGGCAGUGUCCUGGACGGCACCUGACGCUGAGGCGCGAAAGCCAGGGGAG